UACGGGGGGGGCAAGCGUUGUUCGGAAUUACUGGGCGUAAAGGGCGCGUAGGCGGUUGGAUAAGUCAGCUGUGAAAACCACGAGCUUAACUCGUGGCCUGCAGUUGAGACUGUCUGGCUUGAGUGUGGGAGAGGAGAGUGGAAUUCCUGGUGUAGCGGUGAAAUGCGUAGAUAUCAGGAGGAACACCGGUGGCGAAGGCGGCUCUCUGGGACGGUACUGACGCUAAGGCGCGAAAGCGUGGGGAGCGAACAGG
rnacentral:rRNA from 1 species